GAUGAACGCUGGCGGCGUGCCUAAUACAUGCAAGUCGAGCGAACAGACGAGGAGCUUGCUCCUCUGACGUUAGCGGCGGACGGGUGAGUAACACGUGGAUAACCUACCUAUAAGACUGGGAUAACUUCGGGAAACCGGAGCUAAUACCGGAUAAUAUGUUGAACCGCAUGGUACAACAGUGAAAGACGGUCUUGCUGUCACUUAUAGAUGGAUCCGCGCCGCAUUAGCUAGUUGGUAAGGUAACGGCUUACCAAGGCAACGAUGCGUAGCCGACCUGAGAGGGUGAUCGGCCACACUGGAACUGAGACACGGUCCAGACUCCUACGGGAGGCAGCAGUAGGGAAUCUUCCGCAAUGGGCGAAAGCUUGACGGAGCAACGCCGCGUGAGUGAUGAAGGUCUUCGGAUCGUAAAACUCUGUUAUUAGGGAAGAACAAAUGUGUAAGUAACUAUGCACGUCUUGACGGUACCUAAUCAGAAAGCCACGGCUAACUACGUG
rnacentral:rRNA from 1 species